AAUCUUGACUUUACACUAACUCUAGUGUUCUUUACAUCACUUUACGUUGCAAACUCAUGCAAUCACAUUCUUUACAUUUCCUUUACUCUUGCUAACUCUAGCAUUCUUGUCCAUACAUUUCUUAUUCUUAUUGCUCCACUUUACUUUAACAUUACACACUGUCAUUUUCUUUAUUCUUUACAUCACAUUAGUUCUUUGCAUCACACUAACUUUAGUGUCUCUUUACUUUACAUUUUCGAAUGCCACUCGAUCUAU
rnacentral:lncRNA from 1 species